AGGGAAUAUUGCGCAAUGGGGGAAACCCUGACGCAGCAACGCCGCGUGAGUGAGGAAGGUCUUCGGAUUGUAAAACUCUUUUGUUAGGGAAAAAUGAUCACAUGGCUAAUAUCCAUGUGAAGUGAUGGUACCUAAAGAAUAAGCACCGGCUAACUUCGUGCCAGCAGCCGCGGUAAUACGAAGGGUGCAAGCGUUGUUCGGAAUCAUUGGGCGUAAAGCGCGCGCAGGCGGAUCAGUAAGUCAGGUGUGAAAUCUCGAAGCUCAAUUUCGAAACUGCGCCUGAAACUACUAGUCUAGAAUGUCGGAGGGGGCAGGGGAAUUUCACGUGUAGGAGUAAAAUCCGUAGAGAUGUGAAGGAACACCGGAGGCGAAGGCGCCUGCCUGGACGACUAUUGACGCUGAGGCGCGAAAGCGUGGGGAGCAAAC
rnacentral:rRNA from 1 species